rnacentral:tRNA from 1 species
GCCCCUGUAGCUCAAUCGGACAGAGCAGCACCCUUCUAAGGUGAUGGUUGGGGGUUCGAGUCCCUCCAGGGGUA